rnacentral:rRNA from 1 species
AGAGUUUGAUCAUGGCUCAGAAUGAACGCUGGCGGCGUGCUUAACACAUGCAAGUCGUACGAGAACUCUUUAGCUUGCUAAAGAUAGUAAAGUGGCGCACGGGUGAGUAACGCGUGGGUAAUCUACCUCCGAAUCGGGGAUAACCCGCCGAAAGGCGAGCUAAUACCGGAUAAUAUCUAUAAAAUUUCGGUUUUAAAGAUCAAAGGUGGUCUCUACAUGUAAGCUACUGUUUGGAGAUGAGCCCGCGUACCAUUAGCUUGUUGGUAGGGUAAUGGCCUACCAAGGCUUCGAUGGUUAGCUGGUCUGAGAGGAUGAUCAGCCACACUGGAACUGACACACGGUCCAGACUCCUACGGGAGGCAGCAGUGAGGAAUUUUGCGCAAUGGGGGAAACCCUGACGCAGCAACGCCGCGUGAGUGAUGAAGGCUUUCGGGUCGUAAAGCUCUGUCAAGUGGGAAGAACAUGCUUGAUGCUAAUACCAUCUUGCACUGACGGUACCACUGAAGGAAGCACCGGCUAACUCCGUGCCAGCAGCCGCGGUAAUACGGGGGGUGCAAGCGUUAUUCGGAAUUAUUGGGCGUAAAGGGCGCGUAGGCGGUCUCUUAAGUCAGAUGUGAAAGCCCGGGGCUUAACCCCGGAAGUGCAUUUGAAACUAAGGGACUUGAGUAUGGGAGAGGGAAGUGGAAUUCCUGGUGUAGAGGUGAAAUUCGUAGAUAUCAGGAGGAACACCGGUGGCGAAGGCGACUUCCUGGACCAAUACUGACGCUGAGGCGCGAAGGCGUGGGGAGCAAACAGGAUUAGAUACCCUGGUAGUCCACGCAGUAAACGGUGAACACUAGGUGUAGCGGGUAUUGACCCCUGCUGUGCCGUAGCUAACGCAUUAAGUGUUCCGCCUGGGGA